CUUCACCGAGCCGAGCCAGAGCGGCUGUUCGCGGUCCUGGCCGUAGGUGGCGAGCAGUGCCUGUGCCUC
rnacentral:antisense_RNA from 1 species